CACGUAGGCACCAAGCGUUGUCCGGAUUUAUUGGGCGUAAAGAGCUCGUAGGCGGUUCGGUAAGUCGGGUGUGAAAACUCUGGGCUCAACCCAGAGCCGCCACCCGAUACUGCUGUGACUCGAGUGCGGUAGGGGAGCGGGGAAUUCCUGGUGUAGCGGUGAAAUGCGCAGAUAUCAGGAGGAACACCAGUGGCGAAGGCGGCCCCCUGGUUGGAUACUGACGCUGAGACGCGAAAGCGUGGGGAGCAAACAGG
rnacentral:rRNA from 1 species